AUAUAUAUAAAAGGUUGGUUAAGAUACGUAAGUUCUUUUUUCAGUUGAUACAUUUUAAUAAAGUGUAUUGGGUUUUAGCAAACAAAAAUACUUUCAUAUAUUACGAAUUCUAAGUUUUAAAGUCAAGGGUAUUUGAAUAAUUUCCAUUCUCAAAACUAGAAAACAAAUGAGAAAUCCUCAAACCCUUACUCACUUCUCUCUCUUAUCUCUCAUCUCUCUCCAUCAUUUUUCUUUCAUCUCUCUCAUUCUAACAUUAUCUCUGUUAUCCCUAGAGUAGUCCUAACUGAAAAAAUCAGAAACACUCACCUAACCUUAAUCCAGCUUUCUCAUUUAUCCAAUUUGUUUCUCUCUUAUCUCUAUCCUCUCUCACAUCCACACACGGCAACCCGCGACACCGCAAUUUGUUACUCUUUCUUUGUUCGUUCAUUUGUUUGUCACUUUAAUAAAAAAAUAAUUGAGGUUUAAUCAUUUCGGGCAUCCCUAUUUUUGCAGGAUCGUAUCAAAUAGGUCCUCGUAUUG
rnacentral:lncRNA from 1 species